rnacentral:rRNA from 1 species
AGAGUUUGAUCAUGGCUCAGAUUGAACGCUGGCGGCAGGCCUAACACAUGCAAGUCGAGCGGUAGCACAGAGAGCUUGCUCUCGGGUGACGAGCGGCGGACGGGUGAGUAAUGUCUGGGAAACUGCCUGAUGGAGGGGGAUAACUACUGGAAACGGUAGCUAAUACCGCAUAACGUCGCAAGACCAAAGUGGGGGACCUUCGGGCCUCAUGCCAUCAGAUGUGCCCAGAUGGGAUUAGCUAGUAGGUGGGGUAACGGCUCACCUAGGCGACGAUCCCUAGCUGGUCUGAGAGGAUGACCAGCCACACUGGAACUGAGACACGGUCCAGACUCCUACGGGAGGCAGCAGUGGGGAAUAUUGCACAAUGGGCGCAAGCCUGAUGCAGCCAUGCCGCGUGUGUGAAGAAGGCCUUCGGGUUGUAAAGCACUUUCAGCGGGGAGGAAGGCGNNNNNNNNNNNNNNCGAUUGACGUUACCCGCAGAAGAAGCACCGGCUAACUCCGUGCCAGCAGCCGCGGUAAUACGGAGGGUGCAAGCGUUAAUCGGAAUUACUGGGCGUAAAGCGCACGCAGGCGGUCUGUCAAGUCGGAUGUGAAAUCCCCGGGCUCAACCUGGGAACUGCAUUCGAAACUGGCAGGCUAGAGUCUUGUAGAGGGGGGUAGAAUUCCAGGUGUAGCGGUGAAAUGCGUAGAGAUCUGGAGGAAUACCGGUGGCGAAGGCGGCCCCCUGGACAAAGACUGACGCUCAGGUGCGAAAGCGUGGGGAGCAAACAGGAUUAGAUACCCUGGUAGUCCACGCCGUAAACGAUGUCGAUUUGGAGGUUGUGCCCUUGAGGCGUGGCUUCCGGAGCUAACGCGUUAAAUCGACCGCCUGGGGAGUACGGCCGCAAGGUUAAAACUCAAAUGAAUUGACGGGGGCCCGCACAAGCGGUGGAGCAUGUGGUUUAAUUCGAUGCAACGCGAAGAACCUUACCUGGUCUUGACAUCCACAGAACUUNUUGGUGCCUUCGGGAACUGUGAGACAGGUGCUGCAUGGCUGUCGUCAGCUCGUGUUGUGAAAUGUUGGGUUAAGUCCCGCAACGAGCGCAACCCUUAUCCUUUGUUGCCAGCGGUCCGGCCGGGAACUCAAAGGAGACUGCCAGUGAUAAACUGGAGGAAGGUGGGGAUGACGUCAAGUCAUCAUGGCCCUUACGACCAGGGCUACACACGUGCUACAAUGGCAUAUACAAAGAGAAGCGACCUCGCGAGAGCAAGCGGACCUCAUAAAGUAUGUCGUAGUCCGGAUUGGAGUCUGCAACUCGACUCCAUGAAGUCGGAAUCGCUAGUAAUCGUAGAUCAGAAUGCUACGGUGAAUACGUUCCCGGGCCUUGUACACACCGCCCGUCACACCAUGGGAGUGGGUUGCAAAAGAAGUAGGUAGCUUAACCUUCGGGAGGGCGCUUACCACUUUGUGAUUCAUGACUGGGGUGAAGUCGUAACAAGGUAACCGUAGGGGAACCUGCGGUUGGAUCACCU